rnacentral:rRNA from 1 species
CUUCGGCCCUGAAUAAAGUGGCGCACGGGUGAGUAACGCGUGGAUAAUCUGCCCUGUGAUCUGGGAUAACACUUCGAAAGGGGUGCUAAUACCGGAUAAGACCACGGAGUCUUAGGACUCUGCGGUAAAAGGUGGGGACCUUCGGGCCUACCGUCAUCGGAUGAGUCCGCGUACCAUUAGCUAGUUGGUAGGGUAAGAGCCUACCAAGGCGACGAUGGUUAGCUGGUCUGAGAGGAUGAUCAGCCACACUGGAACUGAGACACGGUCCAGACUCCUACGGGAGGCAGCAGUGGGGAAUUUUGCGCAAUGGGGGAAACCCUGACGCAACAACGCCGCGUGAGUGAUGAAGGCCUUCGGGUCGUAAAUCUCUGUCAGAGG